CUGCUAUGAGAUCCUGCAAACACAAAACAUCGAACAAACCUCAUAAAAACCACACUCUCUUCCUACUCUCAGUCUCGUAACUCCUUCAUGGCAAGAAUGGCGGAAAACCUCUGUAACGCUUGCCCGCAAUUCUCCAAUCAGCUUCGUCAGGUCAACUUGUUAUUUUGGGCUCUUUUUAUUUUGGGCUUGAUCUUAAAUCGUUCCUGAAACGACUGAAAAUUUUUAUUAAAUAAUGUAAUUUUUUUUUUGUCUGAAUAAUAUAAUUUCCUUUUCCUUGCAGUGUUGGGUUUUCGGGAGCUCAUUCGAAAACCCGCGAAGGGAAGAGAAGGAAACGGUAACCUAUAAGGCAAACAGCGAAACAAUCUCUUUCUCAAGCCGAGUCUCAGUUACUCUGAAAAUGUCUCUCUUAACCAAGCAUUCUAAAUCAACCGAGACGCCUCUUUUUGGAAGCCAGGGUUUGACCUUUGGGCAAUCUAAACAUAGUGUGCCUGUAAUCCCCCGGUCUAACACCUUUGUCGCAUUGCAGUACUCCUAAUUGGUUUUUCUCAGGGACAAUGCGGCGACCUCAAGCGCAUUCGAAAGUUAUUGAUAUUCUUAAGGAUUAGGGUAUCGCAAUUUGGGGAAUCCUAAUUCUGGGGAAACUUUGCGCUCUAUGACGUAUAUACAGAGUCCUCCACGAUUUCUUUGCCUGGAGACAUGUUUUUGAUUACUCAGUAUAUGAAUGUUUUUUUUUUAAAAAAAAAUAAUUAGCAGAUGAUUGAAAAGAGUAUGGAAGAAGAAUCGCUGGGAGGUCAUGAUGCUGGAGUUAAGGUUUCUAUGUUUGAUUACUCGGUCGAGAAUCACUUCAAAGCAGUUGACACAAUUUUUUGCUGCUGAAGAUUGUGAAAUUCAACAGUUAUCUAACUCGGUCACUUUCCUAAGAGAAUGGAGCUAUUACAAUUACAACCCAGGAAUCAUUAGGUUUGGAUCGGAAUCUCGGGCCUCUGGCAUAUGUUUACCUCAGUUAUCAUCUGCCACCGUUCAUAUGGUAAAAAGAACAUAAAUUUAAAACAAUUUUUUCUUCUUUUUUUUCCUUUCCUUUUUUCUAUGUACGUAGUAUUCGUAGGAUUUGUUAACCUCAUUUAGUGUCUUUUCUAAAACACAAGGACCACAUGAUGAGAAGACCAAAUUCUUAAAAGUCCAGGUAUGAACUUAGAGUGUAUGUAUUUAGGUUUCAGCAUCAUGUUUUUGUUCUUUCCUUGGGUCUAAUGGAAUCGAAUAAGGUUUUAGGUUUUCAAAUUGGUCAGAAUAUGAAUUUUGAUGCUGAAUUGGAUUGAUGUGAAUGUUGGCAUGAACAAGUAUUUUGGUAGAUGGACAACUGUGUGACUGUAAGUGAUUUUGGAAUCAAAUAAGUAUAUCUGGUUUGAGUGAACUGGUUUAAAAGAAUUCUUUUUAGGAGAUUGUAAGUGGAUCAACUAAAUGUGCAACUAUUGUUAAUGCUUUCUUUCUUUGACCAAUUAACAGAUCGUUUCUUUUUCCUUUUGGUAUCCUUGAGGAAGUGGAGAAAAGGAAUAUGUUUUGAUGAGAUGAAACUCAGUUAAGGUUUGGGAUUUAUUCUUGCUGCUAUUAGUCAUAUUUCCUUUUCAAGAAUGGCAUUUACGCUCAAGAUUUAAUUUAUAUUUUCUUGUAGAAGAUGCAGUGGCUUUAGUUACUCUUUGCAGUUUGCUUUUCAUUGUUCUUUUAUAGUUUUAUUUUUUUCAUCUCUUUACUCUAACUAAUUAUUGAUGCGCUAAUUUGUAAAUGCAUUUGAGGCCAUUCCAGUUGAUAUGAAAAUUUUAACUGUGUCAUUGUGAAGAACGUUUAGCUAUCUGUAUUUGUUAUUACUUUCUUCUGGACAUAAUGGAACUUCCAUUAUACAAACUGAUACUCAACUUUGGACUUUAUGCAUCAUUGCUUCGCUACUAUCAAAUCCUAACUGGUUAAGCUACACUAUGCAUACUUUAUAUGUUUCACUUUAAUUUCUGUACAGUAAAGACUUCGUGUUUUAUGUUGGAGGACCUGUACGGGGUUUAGAUUGGCGGCCCUAGAGUUCACAAAAUGCCCGACUUUCCUAUAAAAAUGAGUUUAUCCAACGUUGUUUCUGCUCAUCAUGGCGACUCAUCACAAGAUAGGUGCUCUAUUCAUAGGGAGAGGUAUGAUUCAGAUACAUGUAUUCUGAGUAUCGGCGUGAGUGAGGAGGCAAAAAAGGAUAAGCCC